rnacentral:lncRNA from 1 species
UCACCGUAGACGCCCACCUUCCAGCCGUCCUCAUCCCCAACCAAGUGCUCAAAUGGAACCUCGAUGAGGCCCUGAUGCUUGUGCUCGCCUUUGUUUCCUAUGUUCGUUAACUUUCCAUGCGCAUUCCCGCGCUUGCCACCGUUCUUGGAACCUCUUAUGCGCCGCCCUUCCCCCAGCGCCGGUCCCUACUAGCAAGGCCUUUGGCCUUGGGGCAUGGCCCACUGCCCUCCCCCACCGC